CCCUUAUCCUUUGUUGCCAGCGGUCCGGCCGGGAACUCAAAGGAGACUGCCAGUGAUAAACUGGAGGAAGGUGGGGAUGACGUCAAGUCAUCAUGGCCCUUACGACCAGGGCUACACACGUGCUACAAUGGCGCAUACAAAGAGAAGCGACCUCGCGAGAGCAAGCGGACCUCAUAAAGUGCGUCGUAGUCCGGAUUGGAGUCUGCAACUCGACUCCAUGAAGUCGGAAUCGCUAGUAAUCGUGGAUCAGAAUGCCACGGUGAAUACGUUCCCGGGCCUUGUACACACCGCCCGUCACACCAUGGGAGUGGGUUGCAAAAGAAGUAGGUAGCUUAACCUUCGGGAGGGCGCUUACCACUUUGUGAUUCAUGACUGGGGUGAAGUCGUAACAAGGUAACCGUAGGGGAACCUGCGGUUGGA
rnacentral:rRNA from 2 species